AGUGAACGCUGGCGGUAGGCCUAACACAUGCAAGUCGAACGGCAGCACAGUAAGAGCUUGCUCUUACGGGUGGCGAGUGGCGGACGGGUGAGGAAUACAUCGGAAUCUACUUUUUCGUGGGGGAUAACGUAGGGAAACUUACGCUAAUACCGCAUAUGACCUACGGGUGAAAGCAGGGGAUCUUCGGACCUUGCGCGAUUGAAUGAGCCGAUGUCGGAUUAGCUAGUUGGCGGGGUAAAGGCCCACCAAGGCGACGAUCCGUAGCUGGCCUGAGAGGAUGAUCAGCCACACUGGAACUGAGACACGGUCCAGACUCCUACGGGAGGCAGCAGUAGGGAAUAUUGGACAAUGGGCGCAAGCCUGAUCCAGCCAUACCGCGUGGGUGAAGAAGGCCUUCGGGUUGUAAAGCCCUUUUGUUAGGAAAGAAAAACAGCAGGUGAAUACCCCGCUGUUCUGACGGUACCCAAAGAAUAAGCACCGGCUAACUUCGUG
rnacentral:rRNA from 1 species